GUAGGAGGCGAGCGUUAUCCGGAUUUAUUGGGCGUAAAGAGCGCGUAGGCGGCUUAUUAAGUCGGUUGUGAAAUCUCCUGGCUCAACUGGGAGGGGUCAGCCGAAACUAAUGGGCUUGAGGGCAGCAGAGGGAGGUGGAAUUCCCGGUGUAGUGGUGAAAUGCGUAGAUAUCGGGAGGAACACCAGUGGCGAAGGCGACCUCCUGGGCUGUUCCUGACGCUGAGGCGCGAAAGCGUGGGGAGCAAACAGGAUUAGAUACCCUGGUAGUCCACGCUGUAAACGAUGGACACUAGGUAUGGGGGGUAUCGACCCCUUCCGUGCCGAAGUUAACGCUAUAAGUGUCCCGCCUGGGGAGUACGGUCGCAAGACUA
rnacentral:rRNA from 1 species